AUGCGUGGGACUUUUAACCAGCAUACGUGGGUCGUUCUACGCAACAGCUGUUGCCGUUCCUUGUCUUUGCAUGCGUGCAUGGAACAUGCAUGCAACAUAACUUGGGAGUACUUCUUGGAUGUGUGCGUCCUUACCGGCGAUGAUGUCGGCGCCGCCGCUGAUGAACUUGGACACGCUGUGGACGACGAUGUCGGCGCCGAGCCGCGCGGGCGAGACGACGACGGGGGUGAAGGUGUUGUCCACCACCAGCUUGGCCCCGGCCUCGUGCGCCACCCGCGCCAGCAUCGGGAUGUCGGCCACGGCCAGCGUCGGGUUCGACAUCGUCUCCACGUACACCACCCGCGUCUCCCCCGGCCUUAUGGCCGCGCGCACGGCCGCCUCGUCGUCCGCAUCCACGAACGUCGCCUGCACGCCGGAGGUGCGCGGCAGGAACCGGGACAGCAGCGCGUGGGUGCCGCCGUACAGGCAGCGCGACGCCACCACGUGCCCGCCGGCGCCCACCAGCUGCAUCAGCACGCAGGAGAUGGCCGACAUGCCGGACGCCGUGCAGUAGGCGGCCUCGGUCCCCUCCAGCGCGGCCAUCUGCCGCCCCAGCGCCAGCACCGUCGGGUUGAAGUGGCGGCUGUAGAUGUACAGGUCGCCGCGCUCCGGGCCCAGCUCCCCCGUGAAGAGCCGGCGCAUGGUGUCCGGCUCCAUCACGGUGAACGUGGCCGAGGCCUCGAUGGACAUGUUCACGCCGCCGUGCUCCCCGAACUCAUGCCGCGCCGCGGCCAGUGCCGCCGCCGGGUCCGACUCCCGGCGGCGCGCCUUGGGCGCCUUCUCCUCCGUGCUGCCGUUGUCGUCGCCGAAGCCGUCGUUCUGCGGCGGCGGGCGCUUGAGGAGGGUGAGGGGCUCGGCGGCGGCGAGGACGUGGGCCAUUGGGAUCGUAGGACGGAUGACUGGAUGUUUUCUUUUUGCAGAGAAGAGAGCGCGAGCGGGAUCGAUCAAGAGCUGUGUGGGGAAGCUAGCAGGGGACGGUGCCAAUUUAUAGCCGAUGAUCAGGAAUUCAGGAUCUGGCAGGUAGUCCGGAGUUGGGAGAGCUGCGAGCCGUGA
rnacentral:rRNA from 1 species